rnacentral:rRNA from 1 species
AGAUUGAACGCUGGCGGCAGGCCUAACACAUGCAAGUCGAGCGGUAGAGAGGUGCUUGCACCUCUUGAGAGCGGCGGACGGGUGAGUAAUGCCUAGGAAUCUGCCUAGUGGUGGGGGAUAACGUUCGGAAACGGACGCUAAUACCGCAUACGUCCUACGGGAGAAAGCGGGGGACCUCCGGGCCUCGCGCCAUUAGAUGAGCCUAGGUCGGAUUAGCUAGUUGAUGAGGUAAUGGCUCACCAAGGCGACGAUCCGUAACUGGUCUGAGAGGAUGAUCAGUCACACUAGGAACUGAGACACGGUCCAGACUCCGUACGGGAGGCAGCGAGUAGGGAAUAGUUGGACAAGUAGGGCGAAAGCCGUAGACUCAGCCCAUCGCCGCGUGUGUA